rnacentral:tRNA from 1 species
GCCUGACUGGCUCAGUCCAUAGAGCAUGUGACUUUUGAUCUCUGGGUUGUGAGUUCAAGCCCCAUGUUGGGCC